GUACUGUGCAAACGUUAUUCGGAAUCACUGGGCUUAAAGGGUGCGUAGGCGGCUAACCAAGUCGGGAUGUGAAAUCUCUCGGCCUAACCGAGGAAUUGCGUUCGAAACUGGUUGGCUUGAGUGAGAUAGGGGUGUGCGGAACUUCCAGUGGAGCGGUGAAAUGUGUUGAUAUUGGAAGGAACGCCGGUGGCGAAGGCGGCACACUGGGUCUCAACUGACGCUGAGGCACGAAAGCCAGGGUAGCGAACGGGAUUAGAUACCCCGGUAGUCCUGGCUGUAAACGAUGAGUACUAGACGGGAGGAAUUUCGGUUUCUCCGGUCGCAGCGAAGCAAUAAGUACUCCGCCUGGGGAGUAUGGUCGCAAAGGCUG
rnacentral:rRNA from 1 species